UUGGUGCACUGAUUUUUAAAUAGAGAUUUAAGAACCUUUUAAAUGUUGAAAAAUUGAAAAAUGCAUUUUAAUUUGUGGUACUACAUUACUUGUAACUUAUUUUUGGUAAAUACAUUUGAUCAGAAUAGAAGUAUAUACUCACUGGAAGUAUACAAUUAGGAGCUCAAACAUUCCAUUUUUGUUUUUAUCAUGGAUCUUAUCUAAAAUCCAGGCUGACAUAGGCAUAUGAACCUAAAUAGAAACAAUAUACUUAAUAACACCAUUUCUUUCAAUAAAGACUGUUGUGGGUUUAAUUGUAUCUUCCAAAGAGAUAUGAUGAAGUCACAACCCUAAGUACCCGUGAAUGCGACCUUGUUUUGUUUCAAUCCUUGCAGAUGUAAUCAAGUUAAGAUGAGGUCACACUGGAUCACGUGGACCCUGGUCUAGGGACUGGCAUCUUUAUAAGAGGAAGAAAGAGGGCUCUGGGACAAUCAUAGAGGGAAGACAGCCAUGGGAUGAUGGAGGCAGAAACUCGGUGAUGUGUCUGCAAGCCAAAGAAUUCCAAGGCUGGCCAGAAACCCUUACGAAGGAGCUAUGAGGCGGCAAGGACAUUUUGUCCCUAGGAGGGGACAGGGUCCUAUUAAUACUUCGAUUUUGUAUUUUUGCCCUACAGGACUAUGAGACAAUGUGCUUGCUUUUUAAAGCCACCUAGUUUAGUUCUUUGUAAUAGCAGCCCUCAAAAACUACUGCAGAGACAAUUUCAGAUGAACUGAAAGAAGCCGAGGAAAAACAGACCUUCUCCUUCUAAUUGCUUGUUGUGUCUUCUUGCUACAAGGUCACGACAAGAGCAGGCAAGUGACCAAGACGCCUUGACAUGGGAGGUUGUGGGGCUGCCAAGAGAUGCAUCUGGUCCCCAAAUCCAGAAUCUCACACUCCUCCCUCCAACUCACAGCUUUGGAAGCGCCUUGCUUUAUGAUCUCCGCCCAAACAAGCUGCCGGCAGAGCUCAGUGGACAGAUGACCAACACCUCGUGGAAGAGAAAAGAUCGUUUUCUCAUCAAUGCUGGAAAGAAUGGCACCGAUGGCAUUUUUAAUGUCAUCCCUUGCAUCUUAUUUUUUUCAUACAACUCAUUUUCUGAUUAAUAUUUUCAGCAGCCAGAGCAAAUGCCAGUUUAAUUAAAUUUCCACACCAUCCCCCUUUUAUCCAAUUAGUGGGUUCACUGGCUCCUCGACAACCUUCAACGUCUGCGUUUUCAAUGAAUGCUCAGUUGCUUCUGGCCUCGCCAAAAAAAAUCUGUUACAUAUUAAGUUAUAAUAAGAUAUAGGCAAUUAUAGUAGCAGCAGGACAAAUAGAUUUGUAUGGUUCAUUACAAAGGAUUUCUGGAACAUACAUAGUGUAAAUAACCAGUUUCUGGGGCACAAUAUAUUUCAGAGGAAAAUAUUUUUAAAAUGGGAGCUUAUGGAGAGGUCAUUGUCAGUUACCAUAAGAAAACUCUCAAUAUAAAGAAAUCUUACCAGCCUACUAGCUCUCAGUUAUAUGGAUGAGCAAUAUUUCAACAUGUGGACCACAAACAGAAUGAAAGAUAAAGGGACUUCCCAUGGAAAAUGGGUGGUGACUUGUUUUUCGUGUUUAGAAAAAGAGAGAAAUAUCAUUGUCACUGCCUUGGAAUAGACUGAAUAAGCAAAAAGAAUGAGCUGACAUUGGAGAGGCAUUUGUCAUGGGACAAACCGCCUGCACACACUUUGCACUUGGUAUGCAUUAUCUCAUUUAAAUCUUGGGACAACCCUGGGAGUUGUUAGGUUGAGCUUCCAAAAUGAGAAUUUCACAAAGUUCACCCUAACUUUUUUGUAUAAAGAAGAAAAUUACGGAAUUGGUAACUGCUUAAAAUCACCCUACUAAAAAGUGGUUGAAUCAGAAAUACAACAUGGGUCCUUCUGGCACCAAAGACCAUAAUAUCUUCAGGAUCCUAUUCUAGACAGAGAUCCAGGGUCAAAGUAUGAAUAAAGAGGAGAGAAGCCUUGCUGCCUGGGACAAUUUCAGAAAUGUCAGGGUUGUUCUUCUCUCAAGUUAAUUAACAUAUUGAUUGAUGGACAUCAUUCCAUACCCAUUAGGUUAGUGCUAUGGUUUGAAUGUUAAAUGUUCUCUAAGAACCUAUGCAUUAAAGACUUUGUCCCUAGGAUGAUGUCACUGGGAGAUGGUGGAACCUCUAGGAGGUGGGGCCCAAGAGUCAUUGGAGUUGUGUCUUUGGAAGGUAAUUGUCCCAUGACCUUUGGAAUUCCCAUGAGAUGUUUGUUAGAAAAGCCUGCAUUUGGGCCAACCUCUCUGGUUCCUGGUUUGCUGUGUGAUCUUUCCUCUUCAAGUGCUCUACUGUCUGCCAUGGGGCCUUCGCCAGAAUCUACAUCAUGCUGUUUGGACUUUUAGUCUCCAAAACUGUGGGCAAAAUAUAAACCUCUUUUACCUUCACAAGUAGCAUGUGUCAGGCAUUUCAUUAUAGCAGUAAAAAGCUGACAGAUACAGUUAAUUGGAUGUCUAGCAGAUCUUGAUGAUGGAAUGAAGGAACACCAUUCCACGUGAGGAGGGCCAAAGGGCUUCUGUAACAAGAACGGAAGAUGCCAAAAGAAAUCAUAGAGCAGGGAACACACGAUUGGCUGAAUUUGCAAUUUUUUGUAUGUCGACCCUGAAACUGAUUGGACUUAGUGACACAGAUCUGCCUCGAGCAUUUUUUUUUAAUCCACUCUUGUGAAAUGUGGUAUCUUCUUCUGUAUUAUAUUUAGGAAGAAUUCUACUUCCUAAGAGCUGAGACUGCACAGAACCCUGUGAAGCCUUGCUCUUCCUGUCACCUAACUGUAGGACCCCAAAAGCGGUGUCCUCUUGUGACGACCCCAGAAACACAGACUCCAGACCAGACGAUGCAAUAGAGCAGGAGGUAAUUUUAUUUCAUUUGCGCAAAUGGGCCCCCUACUGCUGCAAGCAGCAAGCAAGUGAGAGGAGCCCCGAGCAGCUAUCUCACACAGCUUUUAAAGGGCAAAACCACAAAAUUAACAUAUUAUAGGCUGGCGUAAGUUCAUUGGAUAAUUUUCAGUAGCGGGCCUUGUAUGGCAGUCUAAAAGUGGUAAUGUCGGUGGAAAAGUACUAGGUCAAAGGGAUACAUUAGGGGAGGGGGUUUCUAGGAGAGAGGAAUAGGUUGCUACGUGCCUUGCAGCUUUCUUUGUUAACCUUGAGCAAGCGUAGGGAAGGGGCUUAUCUACAAGGCAGGUGUUCUGUGUAUCUCUGGUUAGUAGCUGACUGCUUUCUCUGUGAACCGGUUUACUCCCCAUUUCCCAAGGCCGUCUCUGGAACGGUUUGUCU